GUGUGCUGGUGCAGAGGGGGUGGGGGUCUGCGGGCCUGGAUCUGUGGACGGGCUCCUAAUCCUCUUGUUUUCGGAACCGUCAGCAGAUGCGGCUUCCUUUACCUGAAUAAUCCUUUAAAGGAGUAAUAAUUUUUAAAAAGGAGCUCGACCUCAGCCAAAGAGGACGGCGCACGAGAUUAGGGCUUGUAGAUCCACUGCCUUUGGUUGGGCCGGCUGAAUCGCUGGGGACUGCGGCCAGUCUCUUAAAAAAGGAGAACAAAAAGCCGAAGACCUUGUGUGGCCGCCGGGACAAAGCACCUUGGGUUCGGCGAGAAGGGACGCGCAGGAGCGCUGAACCCAGAACACGCGUGGCCGCUGCGGAAGGGCGUCCGCCCGGCGUGCGGAACGCUGAGGGGACUCUCAUCCUCUGUCUCGCCCCCUUUUUUUGACCCGGGGAUCCAGCCGCAUUAUACACGAGUGACCUUUUAAAUCUACGUCCACCCUUUACCUGCGAGAGGACUGCAGCAGGCGAGUUCCGGAAGGCUGAAUCCCCAGGUCCCAGCCCCGGACCGCGGCAACUCGCCCCUGCGGCACGCCCGGCCCGGCUGCGCCCCCACUCAGCGAUGGAGAAACAGCCCAGAUCUCCUCUUAAGCGGAAAAGAGAUUGACCUUCUAGCAGAGGCAAAGGUAAACUCCUGGCCCACGAGUCAACAUGAGGAGUUGUGCUGGUGGUAUGUGUGUUGGAGGCUGGGCUGGCUGAUUCACAGUGACGAGGAUGUCAAUAAUAACAAGAAUGAGAAUGAUGGUACCUAAUAAAGACUUUUUUUCCCAA
rnacentral:lncRNA from 1 species